GAUGAACGCUGGCGGCGUGCCUAAUACAUGCGAGUCGAGCGAACAGACGAGGAGCUUGCUCCUCUGACGUUAGCGGCGGACGGGUGAGUAACACGUGGAUAACCUACCUAUAAGACUGGGAUAACUUCGGGAAACCGGAGCUAAUACCGGAUAAUAUAUUGAACCGCAUGGUUCAAUAGUGAAAGACGGUUUUGCUGUCACUUAUAGAUGGAUCCGCGCCGCAUUAGCUAGUUGGUAAGGUAACGGCUUACCAAGGCAACGAUGCGUAGCCGACCUGAGAGGGUGAUCGACCACACUGGAACUGAGACACGGUCCAGACUCCUACGGGAGGCAGCAGUAGGGAAUCUUCCGCAAUGGGCGAAAGCCUGACGGAGCAACGCCGCGUGAGUGAUGAAGGUCUUCGGAUCGUAAAACUCUGUUAUUAGGGAAGAACAAAUGUGUAAGUAACUAUGCACGUCUUGACGGUACCUAAUCAGAAAGCCACGGCUAACUACGUG
rnacentral:rRNA from 1 species